CGCUGGACGGCUUUUCCGAAUUUCCUCUCAGUCCACCACUUUCUCUCUCUAAAAAAUUACGCAUUUAUCUCUCUCUAGAUCACUGCACUCCCUCUUUAUCGAUUCUGCUUCAACUCAUACUCAGAUCUCCAUCGAAGAUCUCUCUGUAUCUUCCUCUUCGAUCUCAUUAUCUUAUCGCUGUGUUUCUGGUUGCGGAAAGUGAAAGGAUUUGGUAAUUCGGAGCUGGAAGAGAAGGUAGGCGUGCCUCUCUUGCUGGAUCUGAGAGAAAAUGGCUCUUUCAAGCAUGAGAGGUCUCUCUGUGUUUAUCAGCGACGUUCGCAAUUGCCCAAAUAAAGAGCAGGAGAGGCUUCGCGUUGAUAAGGAGCUCGGCAACAUCCGCACUCGCUUCAAAAAUGAAAAGGGUUUGACUCCUUAUGAGAAGAAGAAAUAUGUUUGGAAAAUGCUUUAUAUUUAUAUGCUGGGUUAUGAUGUGGAUUUUGGUCACAUGGAAGCUGUUUCGUUAAUAUCUGCACCAAAAUACCCAGAAAAGCAGGUUGGGUACAUAGUGACAUCAUGUUUGCUUAAUGAGAACCACGAUUUUCUGAGAUUAGCAAUAAAUACUGUACGCAAUGAUAUUAUCGGUCGGAAUGAAACUUUUCAGUGCCUGGCAUUGACUAUGGUUGGGAAUAUUGGUGGGAGAGAAUUUGCUGAAUCGUUAGCAGCAGAUGUUCAAAAGUUGCUCAUUUCUAGUAGCUACAGACCACUUGUUAGAAAAAAAGCUGCAUUAUGUCUGCUGCGCUUGUAUAGAAAAAACCCUGAUGUUGUCAACAUAGAUGGCUGGGCGGAUCGGAUGGCUCAACUGUUAGAUGAACGUGAUCUUGGUGUUUUGACAUCUUCUAUGAGCCUUCUUGUUGCUUUAGUAUCAAAUAACCAUGAAGCGUAUUGGAGUUGUCUACCAAAGUGUGUCAGGGUAUUGGAACGACUUGCUAGGAAUCAAGAUAUUCCACAAGAAUACACUUAUUAUGGAAUCCCAUCUCCUUGGCUUCAGGUUAAGACAAUGAGGGCUCUUCAGUAUUUCCCAACUAUUGAAGAUCCUAAUACUAGAAGAUCAUUGUUUGAGGUCUUACAGCGGAUAUUGAUGGGAACUGAUGUUGUAAAAAAUGUAAAUAAGAACAAUGCAGCGCAUGCUGUUCUCUUUGAAGCCCUUGCUCUUGUCAUGCAUCUUGAUGCUGAAAAGGAGAUGAUGUCUCAAUGUGUUGCGCUUCUUGGAAAAUUUAUUUCUGUGCGUGAACCAAAUAUCCGAUAUCUUGGCUUGGAGAAUAUGACUCGGAUGUUGAUGGUUGCAGAGGUGCAAGAUAUUAUUAAAAGACACCAGGCUCAGAUCAUCACAUCACUGAAAGAUCCUGAUAUCAGUAUUCGUCGGCGUGCUCUUGAUUUACUCUAUGGUAUGUGUGAUGUUUCAAAUGCAAAGGACAUAGUGGAAGAACUGUUGCAGUAUCUAAGCACAGCAGAUUUUGCAAUGCGAGAAGAAUUGUCUCUUAAAGCUGCUAUUCUUGCAGAAAAGUUUGCCCCCGACUUGUCUUGGUACGUGGAUGUGAUCCUACAGUUGAUUGACAAGGCAGGAGAUUUUGUUAGUGAUGACAUAUGGUUUCGUGUUGUGCAGUUUGUUACAAACAAUGAAGACCUACAGCCUUAUGCAGCAGCAAAAGCCAGAGAGUAUCUUGACAAGCCUGCUAUACAUGAGACAAUGGUCAAGGUCAGUUCUUAUCUCCUUGGAGAGUUCAGCCACCUUCUGGCUAGGCGGCCAGGGUCUAGUCCAAAGGAAAUAUUUAACAUAAUACACGAGAAGCUUCCUACUGUAUCAACAUCUACCAUUCCAAUUCUUCUUUCAACAUAUGCUAAGAUCUUGAUGCAUACUCAACCUCCUGAUCCAGAAUUGCAAAACCAAAUCUGGGCAAUAUUUAACAAAUAUGAGAGUUGCAUUGAUGCUGAAAUACAACAACGAGCAGUAGAGUAUUUUGCAUUAAGUAGGAAAGGUGCAGCUCUAAUGGACAUAUUGGCUGAAAUGCCUAAAUUCCCAGAGCGUCAGUCUGCAUUGAUUAAAAAAGCUGAAGAUGCUGAAAUUGAUACUGCAGAGCAAAGUGCUAUUAAGCUGCGGGCACAGCAACAAACUUCAAAUGCUUUGGUUGUGACUGACCAGUGCUAUGCUAAUGGGCCAUCACCAAUUGUUCCAGCUGUUGGCCCACUUACUCUUGUCAAGGUUCCCAGCAUGAGUGGCAGUGAAGAGCAUACUGCAGUGGACCAGGCACUGACCCAGUCAAAUGGGACUUUGACUAAAGUAGAUUCUCAACCUCCCUCAGAUCUUCUUGGUGAUCUUUUGGGACCACUGGCUAUUGAAGGUCCUCCUGGAGCUGCUGUUCAAUCUGAGCAUAGUGCAGUCACUGAAGUGGAAGGUGCCCCAAGUGCAGUGGAUGUUGCAGCUAUUGUACCAGUUGGAGAACAGACAAAUUCUGUUCAGCCUAUAGGAAAUAUCAAUGAAAGAUUUAAUGCCUUAUGCUUGAAAGAUAGUGGAGUCCUUUAUGAGGAUCCAUACAUUCAGAUUGGUAUCAAAGCAGAGUGGCAGGCACAACAUGGGCGCCUUGUUCUUUUCCUUGGAAACAAAAAUACUUCUCCACUUGAUUCUGUUCAAGCUCUAAUAUUGCCUCCUGCCCAUCUAAAAAUGGAGCUUUCAUUAGUACCUGAAAUUAUUCCUCCACGGGCACAGGUACAAUGUCCACUUGAAGUCUUGAAUCUUCACCCAAGUAGGGAUGUUGCUGUUCUUGACUUCUCCUACAAGUUUGGUACCAACAUGGUGAAUGUGAAGCUUCGCCUUCCAGCAGUUCUGAACAAAUUUCUUCAGCCUAUGCCAGUGUCUGCAGAAGAGUUUUUUCCUCAGUGGAGAUCACUUUCAGGGCCACCUCUGAAGCUUCAAGAAGUAGUACGUACAUUAUGCCUUGUGUUUGGCAAUAUAGACUUUUGUUAAAUAGAAAAGUGAUGUUAUCUCCAUUUUUACCUUAUUUUAUUACACACACUGUGGUUCUAAUUUCCCAUUGACAUUGUGUAUAAAUACCCUAUUAUUUUGGGCCUGGUCCAAUAGGUAGAAACAUGUACUGAAGUCCUUGCAAUUGAUAUUUUUUUAUGUAGUCAAAUUAAGUCUGAUUUGUAGACAAUGAGAUGCUAGCUGAGGUUGACUGCCUCUAGAGCAGUAUUGCCUUUACAUCUCAAUCAUUGUAGGAGAGGAUAUCUAAACUAUUUUUGGCAUUGUCAACUCAUUAGGUAUUGUGAAUUACAGGUCAUAUGGUAUGAUCUGUCCACAAGAAGUUUCUCCUGUCAUUCUUUAUAAUUACUAAUGUGCAUUUGCUCAUAUUUUUUUAUUUUUUUGCAGGUUAGAGGUGUAAGACCACUGCCUCUUGAGGAAAUGGCAAAUCUAUUUAACAGUUUUCGGUUGAUGAUUUGUCCAGGGCUUGUAAGCUGUCUUUCUUUUUCACUUUUGCCCUCCUGGAGUUGCACAAUAGUUGUUCACUGUCUCAUGUUUUGCUGUAGGAUCCAAAUCCUAAUAACCUGGUUGCAAGUGCAACCUUCUACUCAGAGAGCACAAGGGCAAUGCUUUGCUUGGUAAGAGAGUUGUUUUUUAUUAUUUGGUUCUGUCCUAUUAUUGUUGUAGAAGUAAUGGUGGAUUUUUCAGUGGCCUACAUAUUGUAGCACCUGGAAUUGGAUACUUGUACAUUUUCUCUAGAUUGGAACAAACUUUGUUCAGUUUUUGAUUUGAAGUAAUGCACGUGAACUUUGCUUAGUACCAAUUCUCUGGGGGAAUCAUCCUAUGUAAAAUAUCUAGCUAUUUCUUAUUCGUUGCUGCAGUCUUUUGUUUUUGGUUUACCGAGGUUCAGGAUGGAGAACCCUUAAUCGGUCCGUUGCUUAAGUUUAGUGGCAUGCAUCUGCUAUCAGGCAAAGCGUGUAGCAUAGCUGCAGUCUUCUUGUGCUUAUAAUGAAAUUAAAUUUCUGAUUCUGUUUGACAUCCUUUUUUGAUGUCAUAUUUCAGAUAAGAAUUGAAACUGAUCCGGCUGAUAGAACACAGUUGAGAAUGACAGUUGCCUCAGGGGAACCUGCGCUAACUUUUGAGCUGAAGGAGUUCAUCAAGGAACAAUUGGUUAGCAUUCCUACAGCUCCACGUGGACCUACAACAGCACCGCCUGCACCUCCGGUAGUGCAACCAACUAGUCCUGCGAUGGCUUUGACAGAUCCCGGAGCCAUGUUGGCUGGUCUGUUGUAAUAAUAUGGAGGUUAUUGAUGUGUGAAGAUUUGUUCAUUAUACACUUGUAAACGUGAUUUAUACAGCUGGCCCACCCAUCUGUCCCUCGAGUCGAGAGGUGAAUAGGUAAAUUCAUGUUGCGAGGGCUGGCGGAAUGAAGGGUGAGCUAAAUUGUGGUCGGCAUAAUUUGUUGGAAUGUCGAAGGGGUUGGUCAGGAUUUUGAGAGAUUCUUUUGCACAAUUGUAAUGUGCUUAGUGAGGUUCUUUUUCUUUUCUUAAUCAAAUUGGGGUGAUGGUUUUUUCUUUCUUUUUUCUCCCUUCAUUUUUGUCUUAUUUUAUUUUAAUCUUUUACCAGUUUUACUGGAUUGGUUUCUGUACUACGAAAUCUGACCGCAGUGUAAGAUAUUUACAUGAAGUAGAAUGAGUUGUAAUAGUUUGUAUUUGAUUGUCAGUGCAUAUUUAUAUUUUUAAUAAGAGUAUAGGGGAAUUCAAAAUUAU
rnacentral:misc_RNA from 1 species